rnacentral:lncRNA from 1 species
UUGGCAUUUAUCACUUUCAAAUAAAACUAAAGUGCUCAACUGGUUAGCCUUCCAUAACAAAAUCUUAACAAAAGCAAACAUGAAGAAAAAAAUUAGUGUCACUCAAUAGCAUGCUUGAUGUUUGGAGAAGCAGAUGAAACUAUAGAUUAUAUAUUCAUCGCCUGUGCUUAUACAAGGAUAAUAUGGCAUCAAACCUAGAGUUGUUUACC